rnacentral:lncRNA from 1 species
CUUUAAUUUCAAAUUCUUUUGCUUAGAAUGCCUUUAAAUAAUUCAACCCACUUAAGUCAUCUCCAGUGAGUUUUAUGUCAUCUACAUAGAUCAUUAACACUACAACCUUUCCAUCCAUUGAGCGUUUGAAAAAAAAGUAUGAUCUGUUUGAGCUUGUGAAAAACCAAUCUUUUGUACCGCUUUAGUAAAUCGAUCAAACUAAGCUCUUGGCGAUUGUUUUAGCCCAUAGAAUGUUUUUCUCAAUCUGCAAACAUUUCCCUUACCAAUUUCAGCUUCAAAGCAGGUGGUGACUCCAUGUACACUUCCUCAUCCAAAUCUUCGUUCAAGAAUGCAUUCUUGACAUCUAGUUGAUAUAGAGACCAAUUGAGGUUGGCAGCUAUUGAAAUCAAAGCUCUAAUAGUAUUUAACUUAGCUACAGGUACGAAGGUCUCAUUAUAAUCAAUGCCAAAAAUUUGAGUAAAGUCUUUAGCAACUAACCUCGCUUUAUACCUUUCUACACUCCCAUCCGUUUUGUAUUUAAUGUUAAACACCCAUUUAUAUCAUACAGGAGAUUUUAUUCUUGGAAGCUGAGCAAUUUCCCAUGUAUUAUUUUUCUUUAAUGCAUUGAGUUCAUCGAAUACUGCUCUCCUCCAUUCUUAUAUACUGAGUGCUUCUUCUAUACCCUUUCGAUGGAUACUUUCAUGCAAUACUUUCUAUAAGUAUGAGAGAGCUUUCCAAAUGACAUGUACUUCUGUAGAGGAUGCUGAGUGCAUGACCGAGUACCCUUCCUAAUAGCAAUAAGUUGAUUUGUCUUACUAUCUUUCCUUUCUUUAAUCACCUUGAACAAGUCAGCAAGUCAUUUGGUUCUUUAUCUUCUGCAUAAUUCUGUGGCUGGUCAUUCUUUUUAUCAUUUCCAUUAAGGUGGUCAUGAGUGGUAUUGCCAAUAGGGAAAUCAAGUUGGCUAGGUUUAGUAGGAAAAAUAUGAGAGUCUGGAGGAGUAACAAGUUCAACAGGAAGCAUCGGUUCAAUAGGUUCAGUUGUAGGAGUAGGAGCAUUUUCAAUAUGUGUAGAAAAAUCCCACACUUCAAUUUCACUAGAUUUCUCCCCCUGAAUUGAACUUGGGUAGAAAGGAGUAUUUUCAAAAAAAGUGACAUCCUUAGUGACGAAAAAUCUUCUAGUCUUCGGACAAAAGCACUUAAAUCCCUUUUGACAAGGUGGGUAUCCCAGAAAAAUACACUUUAUGGCUCUAGAAUCCAGCUUUGUUUCAGGUAAAGAAUGCACAAAUACUAUACACCCAAAAACCUUAACAGGAAGAGUUUGAAAUAAUCUAUUUUGUGGGUAGUAUUAAAGAAGUGCUUGGAGUGGUGUUUUAAAUUGUAGGACAC